AAAGAUCUAAAUAUAUUAUAAAUUUUUUGUGUCAGAAAAAUUUUUAAAAUAUAUUUAGUUGUAAAAUUCUAAUCGCUUUUAUUUAUAUCUAGUAACUUUAGAAGCAAAUUCAGUUUAUGAUAAUUAGAAACAUUUUAUUUUUAAUAAGUUUUAAAAUUAUUUUUAAAUUUAUGGGGAUGAGCUCAUAAAUAAAUAUAAAAGAAUAUAAUUAUUAAUAGUUUUUUUGUAGGCUUAGAAUUAGCUAUUGGAAAAUGUUAUAAAAAAUAAACUUAAAUUUUAGAUUUAAAUUUCUUUUUUAAAUAUAAAGUUAAUUAAAAAAUUUAUUAAUUUUUGAAAAUAUGAUAAUAUUAGUAGAUAAAUUUAUUUUGAACUUGAUUAUAAAUUAUUCUUUUUCAUUUUUUAUAUAAACUUUAACAAAAGAACUAGGCAAAUAUAAUUUCCGAAUGUUUAACAAAAACAUUUCCUCUUAGACAAAGAGGUAAGGCCUGCUCACUGAAUUUUAAAGAGCCGCAGUAUUCUAACUGUGCUAAGGUAGCAUAAUCAUUAGUCUUUUAAUUGGAGACUGGUAUGAAUGGCUUAACGAGAAAUUAACUUUUUUUGUUAUAAGAAUUGAAUUUAAUUUUUUAGUGAAAAAGCUAAAAUUGUUCAGAAAGACGAGAAGACCCUAUAGAGUUUUAUGUUUUAAAAAAAUAAAUUUUUAUUUGAUUUCUGAAUUAUUUAUUUUCAAAAACAUUUUGUUGGGGCGACAUAAAGAUAAACAAAACUCUUUAUAUUAAAAAUUUUUAUAAAAAUAUUCUUGAUCCUUUAUAAGAGAUUAUAAGAAAAAAUUACCUUAGGGAUAACAGCGUAAUCUUUUUUAAGAGUUCUAAUCGACAAAAAGGUUUGCGACCU
rnacentral:rRNA from 1 species